AGAGUUUGAUCCUGGCUCAGGACGAACGCUGGCGGCGUGCCUAAUACAUGCAAGUCGAGCGGACAGAUGGGAACUUGCUUCCUGAAGUCAGCGGCGGACGGGUGAGUAACACGUGGGCAACCUGCCUGUAAGACUGGGAUAACUCCGGGAAACCGGGGCUAAUACCGGAUAAUUCUUUCCCUCACAUGAGGGAAAGCUGAAAGAUGGUUUCGGCUAUCACUUACAGAUGGGCCCGCGGCGCAUUAGCUAGUUGGUGAGGUAACGGCUCACCAAGGCAACGAUGCGUAGCCGACCUGAGAGGGUGAUCGGCCACACUGGGACUGAGACACGGCCCAGACUCCUACGGGAGGCAGCA
rnacentral:rRNA from 1 species